GCCGGGAUGGCGGAAUUGGUAGACGCAAGGGACUUAAACUCCCUCGAGGCCUGGCCUCGUGCCGGUUCGACCCCGGCUCCCGGCACCG
rnacentral:tRNA from 1 species